rfam:Picea glauca, whole genome shotgun sequence.
GUAAAGGUGUCUUUAGACACCGCCCUUUUUCUUCAAAAAUUUUUAU